GAGACAUUCGCAAGCGUCAAGCAAAAGAGACUUUUAAUCCCAAGGUCGAGGGUUCGACCCCCUCAGGGCGCACCA
rnacentral:tRNA from 1 species